GACCUGGUAGUCCACGCUGUAAACGAUGUCGACUUGGAGGUUGUUCCCUUGAGGAGUGGCUUCCGGAGCUAACGCGUUAAGUCGACCGCCUGGGGAGUACGGCCGCAAGGUUAAAACUCAAAUGAAUUGACGGGGGCCCGCACAAGCGGUGGAGCAUGUGGUUUAAUUCGAUGCAACGCGAAGAACCUUACCUACUCUUGACAUCCAGAGAAUUUAGCAGAGAUGCUUUGGUGCCUUCGGGAACCGUGAGACAGGUGCUGCAUGGCUGUCGUCAGCUCGUGUUGUGAAAUGUUGGGUUAAGUCCCGCAACGAGCGCAACCCUUAUCCUUUGUUGCCAGCGGUUCGGCCGGGAACUCAAAGGAGACUGCCAGUGAUAAACUGGAGGAAGGUGGGGAUGACGUCAAGUCAUCAUGGCCCUUACGAGUAGGGCUACACACGUGCUACAAUGGCAUAUACAAAGAGAAGCGACCUCGCGAGAGCAAGCGGACCUCAUAAAGUAUGUCGUAGUCCGGAUCGGAGUCUGCAACUCGACUCCGUGAAGUCGGAAUCGCUAGUAAUCGUGGAUCAGAAUGCCACGGUGAAUACGUUCCCGGGCCUUGUACACACCGCCCGUCACACCAUGGGAGUGGGUUGCAAAAGAAGUAGGUAGCUUAACCUU
rnacentral:rRNA from 1 species